ACGAAGGGUGCAAGCGUUAUCCGGAUUCAUUGGGUUUAAAGGGUGCGUAGGCGGAGCGUUAAGUCAGUGGUGAAAUCCUGCAGCUCAACUGUAGACUUGCCAUUGAUACUGGCGCUCUUGAGUGCGCUUGAAGUAGGCGGAAUGUGCCGUGUAGCGGUGAAAUGCUUAGAUAUGGCACAGAACACCAAUUGCGAAGGCAGCUUACUAAGGCGAUACUGACGCUGAGGCACGAAAGCGUGGGGAUCGAACAGGAUUAGAUACCCUGGUAGUCCACGCCGUAAACGAUGAUCACUCGAGAUUGGCGAUAUACGGUCAGUCUCCUAGCGAAAGCGUUAAGUGAUCCACCUGGGGAGUACGAUCGCAAGAUUG
rnacentral:rRNA from 1 species